rnacentral:rRNA from 1 species
GAUGAACGCUGGCGGCGUGCCUAAUACAUGCAAGUCGAGCGAACAGAUGAGGAGCUUGCUCCUCUGACGUUAGCGGCGGACGGGUGAGUAACACGUGGAUAACCUACCUAUAAGACUGGGAUAACUUCGGGAAACCGGAGCUAAUACCGGAUAAUAUAUUGAACCGCAUGGUUCAAUAGUGAAAGACGGUUUUGCUGUCACUUAUAGAUGGAUCCGCGCCGCAUUAGCUAGUUGGUAAGGUAACGGCUUACCAAGGCAACGAUGCGUAGCCGACCUGAGAGGGUGCUCGGCCACACUGGAACUGACACACGGUCCAGACUCCUACGGGAGGCAGCAGUAGGGAAUCUUCCGCAAUGGGCGAAAGCCUGACGGAGCAACGCCGCGUGCGUGAUGAAGGUCUUCGGAUCGUAAAACUCUGUUAUUAGGGAAGAACAAAUGUGUAAGUAACUAUGCACGUCUUGACGGUACCUAAUCAGAAAGCCACGGCUAACUACGUG